UUAAUUGAAACCAAAAAGAGGUAUAUCACUGUUAAUGAUAUUAUUGGAAUAUAGACCCCAAUUAAA
rnacentral:tRNA from 1 species